AAGAGAGAACAGACUGAGCACAGAGGGGGAAAGAGACAGUUCCAAGAGUUGCCUCCUCAAUUUUUGCCUUCUCAUCCCAUUGUUGGAAAAGUGGAUAUCAUAUCAACACAAAAAUAUGCUGAAAACCAACAUAGAGUGAUCACUGGGUCUGUGAGCAGGUCAAGGGACAAGGAGAUGUCAUUAUCAAAAGAUUGACCAUUAUCAGCCAGAGAGAGGAGGUGACUAAAUCAGUCACGGGAAGAGUCAAGCCCACUUGCCUUUUGUUCGA
rnacentral:lncRNA from 1 species